GAAUAGGCUUCUCUUGAACAAAACUAUUCUUCUUUCAAUUGUGUUGAAGAAACAGAAUAAUAAUGUGUUUGGCCAAGUUUGGUCCCUUCAUCUGCAUUUGCACCUGCACCUUAUUCAACUUCUCUUUUCUUUCUCCACCAACAUAGGAAAAGGGUUUUUUCUUUACUUUGAAAUAACUUAAUUAGCCCUUUAAGUACUCUUUUAAGUACUCUUUCAUGAAUAUGAAGAACGAAAAGGUGAGAGAAAAAAAGGAUCAAUGAUCAAAGGUGCUGGUGCAUUUGCAGCUGAAUGCCAUCUUGGAAAACCCUAUAACUUUAGGGCUUUACCUUUUCUUCUCCAACUUCUUAUCAAAACCUACAAAAUUGGAUCCAACAUAUCACCAAACCCCCUCUUAAUUAUAUUAUUUAUUUUUCUUCGUUUCUCUCUCAACUCUAGUUUUAUUACUCGCUCAUCUAAAAUUCCCUACCUUAUCUUUUUACUCUCUAGAUGUCUUUCCUUGGAUUUCCUCUUUCGCAACAACAAUAAUUCUCUCAUCUCUCUCUGUGUUCCUCUUUUGGAGAUGACAACAACGACAGCGAGCAGAGAUGUGUUGUGUUAGAAACGUAUCAAGGUUUCAGAUGCGAAAGUGAUCAAGAUCAACACAAGGUUAGGCAGACAAAUUCCAUUCUUGUUUUGAUUGUUUAAGUUGUUCCUCAUUCUUGAUACGGGAGCUUCACGGACCGACGCCUCCAAGCAUGAUGGAUUCCAUCAACACUCCUUCCUCGACUCAAAUUGAAACUGAACCCACUACCAACCAAGAAAUUCAACUUGACCCGAAUAGAUAUCAAGUUUGGUCUGGUACUAUGCCAGUCGGAACUCUAGAAUUCACCAAUCUUUUAAACCAAGUCAAAACCACCAAGCUCGACAAAGGAAACUUCUCUUUCUGAAAAAGCAUUGCAUUGUCCAUUCUAAGAAGCCACAAGCUUGAGGGCCAUCUGAUGGGGAAAACAACAUCCUUAGAGCAAUGAAUUAUUAUACCUCCAUGCGAAGAUGAACCUAUGGUACUUCUUCGUAAUCCUGAAUAUGACAUCUGGUUGGCUGCUGACUAACUCCUUGUAGGGUGGUUAUACAAUUCGAUGAUCCCUGGCACCAUUGCUACUCAGGUCAAGGGAAAAGAUGAAGUUAAGAUUUUGUGGGACUCGAUCUAACAAUACUUUUGGAAUUCACUCAAGAUUUCAAGAGAACUUCAACUGUCAUGUUGCAGAGAACAAGGAAAGUCAACUCCAAAAUGGAAGACUAUGUAUCUACAAUGAAAGGUUACUUCGAUAGCCUACAAAUGGCUGGUUAUCCCAUGGAUAUGCACAUUCACAUCAUAAUUACCCCAUCCAUGUUUGUUUGCUCGAUAAAAGCAUGUAUGGCCUUAAACCUGCACCAUGUGUGCAUGGUAUGAUCGUUUUGCCGCAAACUUAUUAACUCUUGUUAGAAAUUAAUAAGUUCCUAGAUACAUUUCUAAUUUCAAGAUACAUGUAAUUAUUCAAGUACAUGAAUGAUAUGUAUGCAUGUACUUUAUUUAUUUCAUUGUUCAAAUACAUGAAUGAUAUGUACAUGUACUUUAUUUAUUUUUUGUCUUUUAAGAAGUAUCUCUUCUACUAUAUAAAGAGUUCACUUCUUUUA